CGCCAGGCGGCAGCCUACACAUGCAGUCGAACGAAGUAGCAAUACUUAGUGGCAGACGGGUGAGUAACAUGUAGGUAUCUGCCCUUUGGCCUGGAAUAACACGAGGAAACUUGUGCUAAUACCGGAUAAGUCUUUACGGAGAAAGCUUUAUGCACCAUUGGAUGAGCCUGCACUUGAUUAGUUUGUUGGUGGGGUAAUGGCCUACCAAGACUGUGAUCAAUAGCUGAUUUGAGAGGAUGAUCAGCCACAUUGGGACUGAGACACGGCCCAAACUCCUACGGGAGGCAGCAGUGGGGAAUCUUGCACAAUGGAGGAAACUCUGAUGCAGCGAUGCCGCGUGAGUGAAGAAGGCCCUUGGGUUGUAAAGCUCUUUCGUCGGGGAAGAAAAUGACUGUACCCGAAUAAGAAGGUCCGGCUAACUUCGUGCCAGUAGCCGCGGUAAUACGAAGGGACCUAGCGUAGUUCGGAAUUACUGGGCUUAAAGAGUUCGUAGGUGGUUGAAAAAGUUAGUGGUGAAAUCCCAGAGCUUAACUCUGGAACUGCCAUUAAAACUUUUCAGCUAGAGUAUGAUAGAGGAAAGCAGAAUUUCUAGUGUAGAGGUGAAAUUCGUAGAUAUUAGAAAGAAUACCAAUUGCGAAGGCAGCUUUCUGGAUCAUUACUGACACUGAGGAACGAAAGCAUGGGUAGCGAAGAGGAUUAGAUACCCUCGUAGUCCAUGCCGUAAACGAUGUGUGUUAGACGUUGGAAAUUUAUUUUCAGUGUCGCAGGGAAACCGAUAAACACACCGCCUGGGGAGUACGACCGCAAGGUUAAAACUCAAAUGAAUUGACGGGGACCCGCACAAGUAGUGGAGCAUGUGGUUUAAUUCGAAGAUACGCGCAGAACCUUACCAACACUUGACAUGUUCGUCGCGACUCUAAGAGAUUAGAGUUUUCGGUUCGGCCGGACGAAACACAGGUGCUGCAUGGCUGUCGUCAGCUCGUGUCGUGAGAUGUUGGGUUAAGUCCCGCAACGAGCGCAAUCCUCACUUUUAGUUGCCAUCAUUAAGUUGGGCACUCUGAAAGAACUGCCAGUGAUAAGCUGGAGGAAGGUGGGGAUGACGUCAAGUCCUCAUGGCCCUUACGUGUUGGGCUACACACGUGCUACAAUGGUAUCUACAACAGGAAGCAAGACUGCGAAGUUAAGCAAAUCCCUAAAAGAUACCUCAGUUCGGAUUGCACUCUGCAACUCGAGCGCAUGAAGCUGGAAUUACUAGUAAUCGUGGAUCAGCGUGCCACGGUGAAUGCGUUCCCGGGUCUUGUACACGCCGCCCGUCACACCAUGGGAGUUGGUUCUACCUUAAGGCAAGGUUUUCAAACCCCUGACCACGUAAUUGACGAGCGG
rnacentral:rRNA from 1 species